rnacentral:rRNA from 1 species
AUUGAACGCUGGCGGCAUGCUUUACACAUGCAAGUCGGACGGCAGCGGGGGUGCUUGCACCUGCCGGCGAGUGGCGAACGGGUGAGUAACAUAUUGGAAUGUACCGAGUAGUGGGGGAUAACCAAUCGAAAGAUUGGCUAAUACCGCAUACGUCCUGAGGGGGAAAGCAGGGGAUCUUCGGACCUUGCGCUAUUUGAGCAGCCAAUAUCUGAUUAGCUAGUUGGUGGGGUAAAGGCCCACCAAGGCGACGAUCAGUAGCGGGUCUGAGAGGAUGAUCCGCCACACUGGGACUGAGACACGGCCCAGACUCCUACGGGAGGCAGCAGUGGGGAAUUUUGGACAAUGGGGGCAACCCUGAUCCAGCCAUGCCGCGUGUCUGAAGAAGGCCUUCGGGUUGUAAAGGACUUUUGUUAGGGAAGAAAAGGGAAGUGCUAAUACCACUUUUUGCUGACGGUACCUAAAGAAUAAGCACCGGCUAACUACGUGCCAGCAGCCGCGGUAAUACGUAGGGUGCGAGCGUUAAUCGGAAUUACUGGGCGUAAAGCGAGCGCAGACGGUUACUUAAGCAGGAUGUGAAAUCCCCGGGCUCAACCUGGGAACUGCGUUCUGAACUGGGUAGCUAGAGUAUGUCAGAGGGGGGUAGAAUUCCACGUGUAGCAGUGAAAUGCGUAGAGAUGUGGAGGAAUACCGAUGGCGAAGGCAGCCCCCUGGGAUAAUACUGACGUUCAUGCUCGAAAGCGUGGGUAGUAAACAGG